rnacentral:rRNA from 1 species
AGUGAACGCUGGCGGUAGGCCUAACACAUGCAAGUCGAACGGCAGCACAGUAAGAGCUUGCUCUUACGGGUGGCGAGUGGCGGACGGGUGCGGAAUACAUCGGAAUCUACUCUUUCGUGGGGGAUAACGUAGGGAAACUUACGCUAAUACCGCAUACGACCUACGGGUGAAAGCAGGGGAUCUUCGGACCUUGCGCGAUUGAAUGAGCCGAUGUCGGAUUAGCUAGUUGGCGGGGUAAAGGCCCACCAAGGCGACGAUCCGUAGCUGGUCUGAGAGGAUGAUCAGCCACACUGGAACUGAGACACGGUCCAGACUCCUACGGGAGGCAGCAGUGGGGAAUAUUGGACAAUGGGCGCAAGCCUGAUCCAGCCAUACCGCGUGGGUGAAGAAGGCCUUCGGGUUGUAAAGCCCUUUUGUUGGGAAAGAAAAGCAGCAGGUUAAUACCCCGCUGUUCUGACGGUACCCAAAGAAUAAGCACCGGCUAACUUCGUG